rnacentral:rRNA from 1 species
GACGAACGCUGGCGGCGUGCUUAACACAUGCAAGUCGAACGGAAAGGCCCUGCUUUUGUGGGGUGCUCGAGUGGCGAACGGGUGAGUAACACGUGAGUAACCUGCCCUUGACUUUGGGAUAACUUCAGGAAACUGGGGCUAAUACCGGAUAGGAGAUCCUGCUGCAUGGUGGGGGUUGGAAAGUUUCGGCGGUUGGGGAUGGACUAGCGGCUUAUCAGCUUGUUGGUGGGGGAGUGGCUUACCCAGGCUUUGACGGGUAGCCGGCCUGAGAGGGUGACCGGCCACAAGAGGCCUGAGAUACGGCGCAGACUCCUACGGGAGGCAGCAGUGGGGAAUAUUGCACAAUGGGCGGAAGCCUGAUGCAGCAACGCCGCGUGCGGGAUGACGGCCUUCGGGUUGUAAACCGCUUUCGCCUGUGACGAAGCGUGAGUGACGGUAAUGGGUAAAGAAGCACCGGCUAACUACGUG